GAUGAACGCUGGCGGCGUGCCUAAUACAUGCGAGUCGAGCGAACAGACGAGGAGCUUGCUCCUCUGACGUUAGCGGCGGACGGGUGAGUAACACGUGGAUAACCUACCUAUAAGACUGGGAUAACUUCGGGAAACCGGAGCUAAUACCGGAUAAUAUAUUGAACCGCAUGGUUCAAUAGUGAAAGACGGUUUUGCUGUCACUUAUAAAUGGAUCCGCGCCGCAUUAGCUAGUUGGUAAGGUAACGGCUUACCAAGGCAACGAUGCGUAGCCGACCUGAGAGGGUGAUCGGCCACACUGGAACUGAGACACGGUCCAGACUCCUACGGGAGGCAGCAGUAGGGAAUCUUCCGCAAUGGGCGAAAGCUUGACGGAGCAACGCCGCGUGAGUGAUGAAGGUCUUCGGAUCGUAAAACUCUGUUAUUAGGGAAGAACAAAUGUGUAAGUAACUAUGCACGUCUUGACGGUACCUAAUCAGAAAGCCACGGCUAACUACGUG
rnacentral:rRNA from 1 species